rnacentral:rRNA from 1 species
UACGGAGGAUCCGAGCGUUAUCCGGAUUUAUUGGGUUUAAAGGGGGCGUAGGCGGCCUUGUAAGUCAGGGGUGAAAGACGGUAGCUCAACUAUCGCAGUGCCUUUGAUACUGCAGGGCUUGAGUAUCGGAGAGGUUGGUGGAAUUCUCGGUGUAGAGGUGAAAUUCGUAGAUAUCGAGAGGAACACCGGUGGCGAAGGCGGCCAACUGGACGAAUACUGACGCUGAGACACGAAAGCGUGGGGAGCAAACAGG